AUAGCAAGCGGCAGUUAUGGAGCAUGCGCAGCAGCAGGGGCGGCCGCAGUCAAGGGAUUUGUACAGCCCUGUAGGAGACACCUCCAGAGAAAGUAACAGCUCUCAAUUGAUUAGCUGAGGAGACCGAUUUUGUAAAUCACUACUUUUCUAACAACACUGGCACAGAUGGCCAAGCAUUCUCCC
rnacentral:lncRNA from 2 species